UCUGACAUGGUGUGGUGUAUAGCAUCUGAUGUGGUAUGUAGAAUGCCGGAGAUUUUUGAGUGUGUGCUUCAGUGUUUUGCUUGAACUUGCUUUGAAUGUGCCAACCCUAAAAGUUCGACCACCACAUUCAUUUGCAUUGAAUGUGGUGUUCAGCAGUUCGAACAACUUUUGUAAAAUUGUGCAUAGGUGCUGCAUUAUUGUAUCUAUGAUAACGAACCUUUCCAUAAUAAAUGUUACCAACCCUAAGAAAAUUUCAUCGACCUGUCAUGAUACUCUCAAUAAUAGAAUUGAUCUAAAAAUGG
rnacentral:lncRNA from 1 species